rnacentral:rRNA from 1 species
UACGAAGGGGGCUAGCGUUGCUCGGAAUCACUGGGCGUAAAGCGCACGUAGGCGGCUUUUUAAGUCAGGGGUGAAAUCCUGGAGCUCAACUCCAGAACUGCCUUUGAUACUGAGAAGCUUGAGUCCGGGAGAGGUGAGUGGAACUGCGAGUGUAGAGGUGAAAUUCGUAGAUAUUCGCAAGAACACCAGUGGCGAAGGCGGCUCGCUGGCUCGAUACUGACGCUGAGGUGCGAAAGCGUGGGGAGCAAACAGG